GUUCUUUUUUUUUUUUUUUUUGGCAAAUGCAUAUAUUCUAAUUUUGCAAAUCUGUUUGUAAAACAUCAAUUGGAGUUAUUCUUUGAAGCCAUGCUUACCAAAACUUAACACCUAUUAGGGGUUUCAUUAGGGAACCUGGAGACUCAGUCCAAGAUCAUAGUCAAAGAUGCUGAAUCACUCACUGUAGCUGGUAUGAUUCUGAGAUAAAACAUCUACCUCUAUGCUGAUUCACAUUCAUUCUGAGC